CCAGGCUAUCGAUAUGGAAACAUGGAAAGGCUGAUUGAUUCCUACAGCAAGGUGUUAUCAGGUGGGCACCUUUCUGAAUCAUAAGUCACAGCAGUUUAUGCUUAUUGUUUGAAAACUACAGGGUGGGGCAAAAGUGGGUUUACAGUGGUUUAUGUGGAGAAUAAUACAAUAAUUAACAAAUAAUAAGAAUAAUAUAACCAUAAAGUGUAUUUCAUGCACUCACGACUGUAUACCUACCUUUGCCCCACCUUGUGUAUUAUUUUAUGUCCUUAUCAUCAGCUUGCUUGUGUUUCAUGUGUCACUUGUAAACAGUAUAGAGUUGGGCCAUUUUUAAAAUCCAGCCUGACCUGUUACUGUGUUGAAUCCAUUUGCACUUAAUAUAGUUAUUGAGAUGGUUGGAUUACUCUACCAUCUCUGUGUUUAAUUACUUCAAAAAAAUUUUUUAUUGAUUGAGUAUUAAAGAGAGCGAGGAAGGAAGAGAGAAAUAGGAAGGGGGGAAGAGAGAGAGAGAGAGAUUUGUUGUUCCACCCACUUAUGCAUUCACUAGUUGACUCCAAUAGGUUCCCUGACUAGUAAUCAAACCUACCACCCUGGUAUAUUAGGAUGGCGCUCCAACCAACUCAGCUAUCUGACCAGGGCUUGGUAUUCAAUUUCUAUUUGUCCCAUCUGCUCUAUAUCCCUCUCUUCCUUUUUUCUUGCCUCUGUUGGUUGAUCUGAGCUUAUUAUUGCUUCCAUUAUAUUCUAUACAGUACAGUCUUCAAAUCCCCAGAUGCUUCCUCAUAAUUAUUAUGAGGCCUGGACUGCUGGAGGAUUUCUUGCUGUUGUCCUCUAGGCUUAGUAGGCCCUGUGCACCUAUGUCUUGGGAAGAGCCCUCUCUUGGCAGCACUCCUGCUUCCUCCAGUGUGACGGAAUGCCGCCUCCUAGGUCUCAGUGCCUGGGGGAGAAAGCUUCUCUCAGUUACCUCUCCUCACCCUCAGGCUUAGACCAUGAACACUUGCACCAUAGAAAGAGUCUCUUUCAUUUCCUCCUCUCUGACCCAAUCUUCCUUGUGAGCUGUCAGUGAAGGCCCAGGGAAAGAAUUAACGGGGAGGCGUGGAGAUCUUUGUGCCUCAGUAUUUAAACAUUAAUUAAAAUUUCAUCUACUUUCUUCUACCCGUGUGCAGCUUCAUCCUUCUCUCACUGCUUUGCCAAAGGUAAGCCCUUCCAUCAGAGAGGCUUGUCACCUUUUGCAUUUAAGUUCAUUAGGUGACCUUGUGCCCUUAGAUCUUCUAUAGACUGAAUAUCUUUUAAGGUUUUGAUAUUCCCCAGCUUGUUCUCCUUAUUAGAGUUUAAACAACAUUUUCUUUUGACUCUCUGCCUCCUAAGGAAAUAUAGAAUGCAGAUGAUGCAUUUCCCCAUAAUAAACAUAAUAGUUGGCACCUCACUGGUGCUCAGACAAUAUUUGCUGAGCCCUGGCUGGGUGGCUUGGUUGGCUGGAGCAUCGUCCUGUGCACCAGGGGGAUGCGGGUUGAUUCCUGGUCAGAGCAUGUGUGGGAGGCACUGGAUAAAUGGACUUCUUUCUUCUUAUGACCAGAACAGCAAGACCUCUAUGUUCUGUAAAAGCAAAGACAAACUAAAAUACCAUGAAAUAGACUUGGGAUACUAGAAAUAAAAAUGCUAUUUUUUGUUGCCCUGAAUCCAUUACUUACUUAGAGAGGUUGAUCCUGAGAAGAAUUUGAAGGAAUUUAGAACAUAAAAAUAAACUACUAAAAAAAAUUCAAGGAACUAAAGAGAUUUCUGAGUUAUCUGAAAGGAAACAAAAGAUAUCCAUGUUGUCAGGAACUGAAUUUGUUUAAAAACAAUAGAUCCAAGGAAAAUUAAUCACUAAUGUUUGCAGGCAUAUAUGUGUAUAUGCACUUAUAUACUCAUAUGUAUGCAUCUGUACUUAUACAUAUAUGUGGUGUGUGUGUGUGUGCGUGUGUGAGAGAGAGAAAGAGAGAGAGAGAGAGAGAGAAGAGAAAUUGAGAAGUGAAAGCCAGUUGCUAAGACAAACCUUCGGAUAGAAACCGAAGUUUCUAUCAUCGACUUGCAAAUGGAAACUGGCGCUGUGCCUGGAAUAAAGAUGAAACAUUUUGACUCGGUUAGGCUUUCUUCCAGCUGCAGUUGUUGGGGUGAGGAUUUGCAGCACAGAGAUACUCCCUUUGGGUGCCUGUGCUUUAGAGAUAGUUAAACUCAGGCCUCGUGUGACCCUCUGGACCUCCCUCUCAGUCUGAUUCUGGAAAUGCUGAAUACCUGACUCAUCUCUUCAUGCAUCUGAGGCUGUUUUAUCACAAGGCUUGACAUGUCAGUAACUCUUUAAAAAAGUCUUUGGUCCCACCGUGAAGCUAGAUUGUUGCCUUACAGGAGAAAGAGGGAGAACUAUGCUUUCUGAAAAACCAGCAUGCUGAAUGACCUUGGUCUGAACCCUUUAAAAUCAUCAAAUGGACGCAGGGCUGUGAAAUAUUUACUUGGGUUAUUUUGAGUCACGUAUAUUUCCAAUUUCUUUGCACACAAUUAGUUUUAUUCUUAAUUUUACCACCAACACUGAGAGCUAAUCUUUGUAUCAUGAAGUCUUCUCUAUUUUACCUUCUGAGUGAUUUUUAUAAAAACCAAAUCUGUCUCAAAUUAUUUUUUUAAAAUUGCAUCGGUUAAAUUCUUUACAAGUUUGCUACUAUCUUGGAUUAAAAUUCAAGCAGAGGGUUAGUGUAACAUAGAGGUUAAGAGUACAAACAAUUGAGUCAGAUGGGCAAGCUUCGAUUCCAGGUUCUAACACUUUCUUACCUGUCUGUAUUUCCAUCUCCUUAUCUGGCAAAUGAGGAAAAUGAGAUCACCCCCCUCAUACAGUUGUCAAGAAUAUUAAAGAAGAUAAUUUACCUAAAACCUUAAAUUCAAAAGUUGCCUAGUACACAGUAAGUGUUUGAUGAAUGCUCGCUACUAUUUAUAUUAACAAAGAAUGUAAGGCCAGUUGUGAUGGAAACUUACUCUCCUUUUAAUUUCCUGUAUGUCAAGACUUGGCUAUAUUUCUCCAUACAUGGUUUUGUCCACUAUUCACAACCACCCUAGCAACCAGACAGCACCCUUGUUUUCAGGCAUACCAAGUAGUUACUUCAUCAUCCCUCUCAUCAUCAUCAUAACUACAUUUUUCUUUAUCAUGUAUUGUCAUUCCAAUUUUAUAGAGAAAGUAAUCCUUUCAUAUAGACUUGAAUAAUGUAAACGAAGGAUCUCAAUCUGGAAUGAGAUCGAGAAAGACAGGAGCAGAGGUGAGAAACAGGCCAUUCAGUGUUCUACCUCUAAGUCCAGAUGCCAUCUAGAUAGAUCACCUCACAUCUACUGAACAUGUCUCCUUAGGCUUCCUUUGGCCAUGACCGUUUCUCUGACUUUUCCUGAUGUUGAAGACCUAGACAGCUUUGAUGAGAACAGGUGUUGCAUUUCUUACAAAUUUGAAGGCAAGACCCUUCUUCACCUGCAAAAUCAUUAAGACUUACUUUAUUGUGAUACUCACUUCAUUGCCAUGGUCUGGAACCAAGUCUGCAAUAUAUCCAAGGUAUGCCAGUUUGUAUGGCUCUGGCACUUUGUGUCCCCGAAUGAAGACAACAUGGAACAGAACCCCUAGCACAACUCCAGGACUAAACUCAGCAUAGCAAUGGCUACAAUGUAUCUGUGAAGUGAGAAUGAUGUGUUUGUAAAGAGCACGUGUUGUAGACACUACAGCCUUUGCUUUGAGUCCUGGCUCUCAGCUUGGUAGGUCAGUAAACUUGGGCAUCUCCUUAGCUCUUUGAGAUUUGCUUCCUCAUUUAAAAAAAACUGACAAAAUAAUAACACCUACUACAAAGAGUCGUUGUGAAGUUUAAAUGUGAGCACAAAUAAUAUCUAGAAUGAAAAUGAAGGCAUUGCUAUAA